rnacentral:rRNA from 1 species
UGAGGAAUAUUGGGCAAUGCCCGAAAGGGUGACCCAGCAACGCCGCGUGGAGAAUGAAGGUCGUAAGAUUGUAAACUCCCGUUAGAGGGGAAGAAUAACUAAGUUUGGAGCUUAGUAUGACUGUACCCUCAGAGAAAGCCCCGGCUAACUACGUGCCAGCAGCCGCGGUAAUACGUAGGGGGCAAGCGUUGUCCGGAUUUACUGGGUGUAAAGGGCGCGCAGGCGGAAUGGAAAGUCAGUGGUGAAAUCCUACAGCUUAACUGUAGAACUGCCUUUGAUACUUUCAUUCUUGAGUUCGGGAGAGAGAGACGGAAUUCCAGGUGUAGUGGUGAAAUACGUAGAUAUCUGGAAGAACACCAGUUGCGAAGGCGGUCUCUUGGUCCGAUACUGACGCUGAGGCGCGAAAGCGUGGGGAGCAUACA